rnacentral:lncRNA from 1 species
AUAGAAUUAGAAGAUCAUUAUCAAAAAUAUCAUGAUAGAAAAAUUUUAUUAGAAUAAGAAAUUGAGCAAGUAUUAAUCUUUCCAUUUAUUUCAUAUCCUUGUUGUAAUAGCAAAAGUAUAGAAAUAAUAUUCUAAAUAAUCUUAGGUAUAUAAUAAUAAUUUUUUAGCUCUAAGAUCUUCCCAGAUGGUAACUUCAAGAUAUAUGUCCCCAUAACUUCUGCUU